rnacentral:rRNA from 1 species
UACGUAGGUGGCAAGCGUUGUCCGGAUUUAUUGGGCGUAAAGCGAGCGCAGGCGGUUCCUUAAGUCUGAUGUGAAAGCCCCCGGCUCAACCGGGGAGGGUCAUUGGAAACUGGGGAACUUGAGUGCAGAAGAGGAGAGUGGAAUUCCAUGUGUAGCGGUGAAAUGCUUAGAUAUAUGGAGGAACACCAGUGGCGAAGGCGGCUCUCUGGUCUUUAUCUGACGCUGAGGCUCGUAAGCGUGGGUAGCAAACAGG